rnacentral:rRNA from 1 species
GUGCCAGCCGCCGCGGUAAUACGAAGGGGGCUAGCGUUGUUCGGAAUCACUGGGCGUAAAGGGCGCGUAGGCGGCUUUAUAAGUCGGGGGUGAAAGCCUGUGGCUCAACCACAGAAUUGCCUUCGAUACUGUAGAGCUUGAGACCGGAAGAGGUUAGUGGAACUGCGAGUGUAGAGGUGAAAUUCGUAGAUAUUCGCAAGAACACCAGUGGCGAAGGCGGCUGACUGGUCCGGUUCUGACGCUGAGGCGCGAAAGCGUGGGGAGCAAACAGGAUUAGAUCCCCUGGUAGUCCACGCCGUAAACGAUGAAUGCCAGCCGUUGGGCAGCUUGCUGCUCAGUGGCGCAGCUAACGCUUUAAGCAUUCCGCCUGGGGAGUACGGUCGCAAGAUUAAAACUCAAAGGAAUUGACGG